rnacentral:rRNA from 1 species
AUUGAACGCUGGCGGCAUGCCUUACACAUGCAAGUCGAACGGCAGCGGACCUUCGGGUGCCGGCGAGUGGCGAACGGGUGAGUAAUAUAUCGGAACGUGCCUUUCGGUGGGGGAUAACGUAGCGAAAGUUACGCUAAUACCGCAUAUUCUCUGAGGAGGAAAGCAGGGGACCUUCGGGCCUUGCGCUGAUGGAGCGGCCGAUAUCAGAUUAGCUAGUUGGUGGGGUAAAGGCCUACCAAGGCGACGAUCUGUAGCGGGUCUGAGAGGAUGAUCCCCCACACUGGGACUGAGGAACGGCCCAGACUCCUACGGGAGGCAGCAGUGGGGAAUUGUGGACAAUGGGCGAAAGCCUGAUCCAGCCAUGCCGCGUGAGUGAAGAAGGCCUUCGGGUUGUAAAGGACUUUUGUCGGGGAGGAAAUCCCCAGCGUUAAUACCGCUGGGGGAUGACAGUACCUGAAGAAUAAGCACCGGCUAACUACGUGCCAGCCGCCGCGGUAACAC